UGAGGAAUAUUGCGCAAUGGGGGAAACCCUGACGCAGCGACGCCGCGUGGAUGAUGAAGGCCUUUGGGUCGUAAAAUCCUGUCAGAUGGAAAGAAAUGCUAUUGGUUUAAUAUCCCUUUAGUUUGACGGUACCAUCAAAGGAAGCACCGGCUAACUCCGUGCCAGCAGCCGCGGUAAUACGGAGGGUGCAAGCGUUGUUCGGAAUUACUGGGCGUAAAGCGCGCGUAGGUGGUCUUAUAAGUCAGAUGUGAAAGUCCACGGCUCAACCGUGGAAGUGCAUUUGAUACUGCUUGACUCGAAUCUGGUAGAGGGUAGUGGAAUUCCAUGUGUAGCGGUGAAAUGCGUAGAUAUGUGGAGGAACAUCAGUGGCGAAGGCGGCUACCUGGACCAAGAUUGACGCUGAGGUACGAAAGCGUGGGGAGCAAACAGGAUUAGAGACCCUGGUAGUCCACGCUGUAAACGAUGAACACUAGGUGUAGCGGGUAUUGACCCCUGCUGUGCCGUAGCUAACGCAUUAAGUGUUCCGCCUGGGGAGUACGGUCGCAAGAUUAAAACUCAAAGGAAUUGACGG
rnacentral:rRNA from 1 species